AGAGUUUGAUCCUGGCUAACGCUGGCGGCAGGCCUAACACAUGCAAGUCGAGCGGAAACGAGUUAUCUGAACCUUCGGGGAACGAUAACGGCGUCGAGCGGCGGACGGGUGAGUAAUGCCUAGGAAAUUGCCCUGAUGUGGGGGAUAACCAUUGGAAACGAUGGCUAAUACCGCAUGAUGCCUACGGGCCAAAGAGGGGGACCUUCGGGCCUCUCGCGUCAGGAUAUGCCUAGGUGGGAUUAGCUAGUUGGUGAGGUAAGGGCUCACCAAGGCGACGAUCCCUAGCUGGUCUGAGAGGAUGAUCAGCCACACUGGAACUGAGACACGGUCCAGACUCCUACGGGAGGCAGCAGUGGGGAAUAUUGCACAAUGGGCGCAAGCCUGAUGCAGCCAUGCUGCGUGUGUGAAGAAGGCCUUCGGGUUGUAAAGCACUUUCAGUCGUGAGGAAGGUAGUGUAGUUAAUAGCUGCAUUAUUUGACGUUAGCGACAGAAGAAGCACCGGCUAACUCCGUGCCAGCAGCCGCGGUAAUACGGAGGGUGCGAGCGUUAAUCGGAAUUACUGGGCGUAAAGCGCAUGCAGGUGGUUUGUUAAGUCAGAUGUGAAAGCCCGGGGCUCAACCUCGGAAUAGCAUUUGAAACUGGCAGACUAGAGUACUGUAGAGGGGGGUAGAAUUUCAGGUGUAGCGGUGAAAUGCGUAGAGAUCUGAAGGAAUACCGGUGGCGAAGGCGGCCCCCUGGACAGAUACUGACACUCAGAUGCGAAAGCGUGGGGAGCAAACAGGAUUAGAUACCCUGGUAGUCCACGCCGUAAACGAUGUCUACUUGGAGGUUGUGGCCUUGAGCCGUGGCUUUCGGAGCUAACGCGUUAAGUAGACCGCCUGGGGAGUACGGUCGCAAGAUUAAAACUCAAAUGAAUUGACGGGGGCCCGCACAAGCGGUGGAGCAUGUGGUUUAAUUCGAUGCAACGCGAAGAACCUUACCUACUCUUGACAUCCAGAGAACUUUCCAGAGAUGGAUUGGUGCCUUCGGGAACUCUGAGACAGGUGCUGCAUGGCUGUCGUCAGCUCGUGUUGUGAAAUGUUGGGUUAAGUCCCGCAACGAGCGCAACCCUUAUCCUUGUUUGCCAGCGAGUAAUGUCGGGAACUCCAGGGAGACUGCCGGUGAUAAACCGGAGGAAGGUGGGGACGACGUCAAGUCAUCAUGGCCCUUACGAGUAGGGCUACACACGUGCUACAAUGGCGCAUACAGAGGGCGGCCAACUUGCGAAAGUGAGCGAAUCCCAAAAAGUGCGUCGUAGUCCGGAUUGGAGUCUGCAACUCGACUCCAUGAAGUCGGAAUCGCUAGUAAUCGUGGAUCAGAAUGCCACGGUGAAUACGUUCCCGGGCCUUGUACACACCGCCCGUCACACCAUGGGAGUGGGCUGCAAAAGAAGUAGGUAGUUUAACCUUCGGGGGGACGCUUACCACUUUGUGGUUCAUGACUGGGGUGAAGUCGUAACAAGGUAGCCGUA
rnacentral:rRNA from 1 species